rnacentral:rRNA from 1 species
GUAGGUGGCAAGCGUUGUCCGGAAUUAUUGGGCGUAAAGCGCGCGCAGGUGGUUCUUUAAGUCUGAUGUGAAAGCCCCCCGGGCUCAACCGGGGAGGGUCAUUGGAAACUGGGGAACUUGAGUGCAGGAGAGGAAAGUGGAAUUCCACGUGUAGCGGUGAAAUGCGUAGAUAUGUGGAGGAACACCAGUGGCGAAGGCGACUUUCUGGCCUGUAACUGACACUGAGGCGCGAAAGCGUGGGGAGCAAACAGGAUUAGAUACCCUGGUAGUCCACGCCGUAAACGAUGAGUGCUAAGUGUUGGGGGGGUUUCCGCCCCUCAGUGCUGCAGCUAACGCAUUAAGCACUCCGCCUGGGGAGUACGGUCGCAAAGACUG